CACAACCAAAGUAUUCUAAGAGGUCCAAGGGCGACUGGGGUCACCUCUGGCUGGGCAAUGGGGAUUAGGGACAGUAUCAUGGAUGAAAUGCCACUUAAACUGGGUUUCAGAAGAGAUGGGGUGGAGGGGGGCCUUCUGGGGAGAGGGAACCACAUGGGAGCAAAGACCAGCCCCAGUCCAAGUUCAUCUCUUGGGCUCCCUGUAGCCCAGGUCCAAAGGCAGGUGCAGGCCGGAGCGCCAGGUCAGGAAUUCGAUCUCUGUUGGGAGCCAGUGUGGAGUCUCUGCGUGACCAGAGGCAGGGCUUGCAAAAGAUUGACGAGGCAGAGGUAUGGAGGGUGGGCUGGGGGACGGGGAGGCUGGAGGCAGGGAAACCAGAUAGGAGGUCCUAGCUACAGGCUCCAUGUGAGAUAAGAGCACAGCAGUGAGUGUGGAAAACAAGGGGGUUCAAGCACUGUAGCGAAGUGGGGGGUUGAUGCACAAAGAACCCAUUUGUUCUCUUUAGGCUUUUGGCCCAGAGUUACCGCAAAAUUGAUACAAAGCAUUCAAGUUUGCAAAGAUAUUUAUUAAAAAUUCAUUAAGUAUAUUUAAAGGAUGUUUAGAACUGAAAAUUAAGUGUGAGCUUUCAUAUAAACAUCUUCAGGAGGCUUCCAGGCAUGAAGUGGGCAGAUGGGGACAGUGAAGUGCUGGUAAAUGUUGAACGAUGGGCUGAGAGUGGAGCAGAGCCCUGACUGGCAGCGUUUGUCAGCUUCCAUGCUGUAAAAUCCUCCCACGAUAGCUGAUUUCAAGCUACCAACAUAAUAUCAACCAGCUCGCACAAUUCCAGAAAUAUAACAACUGGCUCUUGGGAACCACUAUGAGCUGGCUCUGGCACACUCCUGAAUGGAGACCCAAUGCCGGGAAAUGGAUGGAACCACAUACGCAAGAUGUGGGGCAUCUUCAAUUCUCUGCUCCUUUGAAGAACAGAAAUGAUGUUAUGUCCCAGCUCCCAGAACGGUCCCGCUGCUCAGUUCCAACCCCACCCCUCCCAGGCUGGCCUCUCUGGGAAUCCCCAGGAUUGAGCAGAACUCUCCUUGGGCCCCGAGUUCGUCAUCUUCACUGCCUGAGAAACGCUGGAUCCACACAACGUGGCAUCCUCAACGGGAGUAAGGGAAGUGCACCCAGUGUGCACCAACAUCACCGUUUUCCAACGCCACAGUCUCACCAAGAGCCAUCCACACACAAAGGCCUCUUCUCUGGAAGCUAAGUGUCCAGUAUCCACGCCACCAUUCAGGACCAGUGCUGAAUACUCCUCAUGGCGCAGAGGCACAAGGCUCACUUUUUCCUUUCAAGGGAUCUUGGUUUUGUUUCCAAAAUGUCAACAGAUGUCUGUAAGUGUUGAUGAAAGAGCCAGAACAGCAUUGCCUACGGAGAGCACUCACUGUGCCAUCUUCGUCCAGCCCUUCAGGACGACUCGGGCCUGCACUGGAAAGGCCGCGGGCAGGUGGGGCCAGGCUGUGCCCGCUCUGUGUAAUCAGGGCACUUUCUUCCCCUGCGGGGCUUGAGUUUUUCUCCAGCUCUUUGAGACUAGAAAGAACUGCUCCCCCUCAACACAGCAGAUGCUUCG
ensembl:lncRNA